rfam:Oryza sativa (indica cultivar-group) chromosome 8, whole genome shotgun sequence.
UUUAAGUGCAAUUGUAAGUUUCCACUCCCAACUUUGAUCUUUCAUCUUAUUUUAUUUUUUUUAUAAUUAGUAUUUUUAUUACUAUGAGAUGAUAAAAUAUGAAUAGUACUUUAUACGUAACUUAUGUUUUUAUUUUUUUAUUUUUUUUUUCAAAUAAGACGAUGGUCAAAGUUUUGCACGAAAAAUUAUGGCUGCACUUAAA